UUGGACUGCGGGAGAUACUACCAAGCUAGGGGGCGGGAGAGGCCGGCGGUAGUCCCGGGGUAGGGGUGAAAUCCUAUAAUCCCGGGAGGACCACCAGUGGCGAAGGCGGCCGGCCAGAACGCGCCCGACGGUGAGGGACGAAAGCUGGGGGAGCGAACCGGAUUAGAUACCCGGGUAGUCCCAGCCGUAAACGAUGCGGGCUAAGUGUUGGAACGGCUACGUGCCGUCCCAGUGCCGCAGGGAAGCUAUUAAGCCCGCCGCCUGGGAAGUACGCCCGCAAGGCUGAAACUUAAAGGAAUUGGCGGGGGAGCACCACAAGGGGUGAAGCCUGCGGUUUAAUUGGAGUCAACGCCGGGAACCUCACCGGGGGCGACAGCAGGAUGAAGGCCAGAUUAACGGUCUUGCUGGACAAGCUGAGAGGAGGUGCAUGGCCGUCGCCAGUUCGUGCCGUGAGGUGUCCUGUCAAGUCAGGCAACGAACGAGACCCAUACCCAUAGUUGCCAGCGGAUCCCAUUGGGAUGCCGGGCAAGACUAGGGGGACUGCCGCCGAUAAGGCGGAGGAGGGAGGGGGCCACGGCAGGUCAGCAUGCCCCGAAUCUCCCGGGCCACACGCGGGCUGCAAUGCCAGGGACAGAGGGCUCCAACCCCGAAAGGGGAAG
rnacentral:rRNA from 1 species